AUGGGCGCAAGCCUGAUGCAGCGACGCCGCGUGAGGGAUGACGGCCUUCGGGUUGUAAACCUCUUUCAGUAGGGAAGAAGCGAAAGUGACGGUACCUGCAGAAGAAGCGCCGGCUAACUACGUGCCAGCAGCCGCGGUAAUACGUAGGGCGCAAGCGUUAUCCGGAAUUAUUGGGCGUAAAGAGCUCGUAGGCGGUUUGUCGCGUCUGCCGUGAAAGUCCGGGGCUCAACUCCGGAUCUGCGGUGGGUACGGGCAGACUAGAGUGAUGUAGGGGAGACUGGAAUUCCUGGUGUAGCGGUGAAAUGCGCAGAUAUCAGGAGGAACACCGAUGGCGAAGGCAGGUCUCUGGGCAUUAACUGACGCUGAGGAGCGAAAGCAUGGGGAGCGAACAGGAUUAGAUACCCUGGUAGUCCAUGCCGUAAACGUUGGGCACUAGGUGUGGGGGACAUUCCACGUUUUCCGCGCCGUAGCUAACGCAUUAAGUGCCCCGCCUGGGGAGUACGGCCGCAAGGCUAAAACUCAAAGGAAUUGACGGGGGCCCGCACAAGCGGCGGAGCAUGCGGAUUAAUUCGAUGCAACGCGAAGAACCUUACCAAGGCUUGACAUGGACCGGACCGCCGCAGAAAUGUGGUUUCCCCUUUGGGGCCGGUUUACAGGUGGUGCAUGGUUGUCGUCAGCUCGUGUCGUGAGAUGUUGGGUUAAGUCCCGCAACGAGCGCAACCCUCGUUCUAUGUUGCCAGCGGUUCGGCCGGGGACUCAUAGGAGACUGCCGGGGUCAACUCGGAGGAAGGUGGGGACGACGUCAAAUCAUCAUGCCCCUUAUGUCUUGGGCUUCACGCAUGCUACAAUGGCCGGUACAAAGGGUUGCGAUACUGUGAGGUGGAGCUAAUCCCAAAAAGCCGGUCUCAGUUCGGAUUGGGGUCUGCAACUCGACCCCAUGAAGUCGGAGUCGCUAGUAAUCGCAGAUCAGCAACGCUGCGGUGAAUACGUUCCCGGGCCUUGUACACACCGCCCGUCAAGUCACGAAAGUUGGUAACACCCGAAGCCGGUGGCCUAACCCCUUGUGGGAGGGAGCUGUCGAAGGUGGGACUGGCGAUUGGGACUAAGUCGUAACAAG
rnacentral:rRNA from 1 species